GAUGAACGCUGGCGGCGUGCCUAAUACAUGCAAGUCGAGCGAACAGACGAGGAGCUUGCUCCUCUGUCGUUAGCGGCGGACGGGUGAGUAACACGUGGAUAACCUCCCUAUCAGACUGGGAUAACUUCGGGACACCGGAUCUAAUCCCGUAUAAUCUACUGAACCGCAUGGUUCAAUAGUGAAAUACGGUUUUUCUGUCACUUCUCGCUGGAUCCCCGCUGCAUUAUCUAGUUGGUACGCUCAAGGCUUACCAAGGCAACGAUGCGUAGCCGACCUGAGAGAGUGAUCGGCCGCACUAGAAGUGGGACGCGGACAAGACUACUGCGAGACGGAGCAGUAGGGAAUCGUCCGCAGUGGGCGAGAGCUUGACGGAGCAACGCCAAGUGAGUGAUGGAGGUCUUCGGAUCGUAAAGCUCUGUUAUUGGGGAAAAACAAAUGUGGAAGUAAAUGUGCACGUCGUGACGGUACCGAAUCAGAAAGCCACGGCUAACUACGUG
rnacentral:rRNA from 1 species